rnacentral:rRNA from 1 species
AGUGAACGCUGGCGGUAGGCCUAACACAUGCAAGUCGAACGGCAGCACCGUAAGAGCUUGCUCUUACGGGUGGCGAGUGGCGGACGGGUGAGGAAUACAUCGGAAUCUACUUUUUCGUGGGGGAUAACGUAGGGAAACUUACGCCAAUACCGCAUACGGCCUACGGGUGAAAGCAGGGGAUCUUCGGACCUUGCGCGAUUGAAUGAGCCGAUGUCGGAUUAGCUAGUUGGCGGGGUAAAGGCACACCAAGGCGACGGACCGUAGCUGGUCUGAGAGGAUGGUCAGCCACCCUGGAACUGAGACACGUCCCAGACUCCUACGGGAGGCAGCAGUGGGGAAUAUUGGACAAUGGGCGCAAGCCUGAUCCAGCCAUACCGCGUGGGUGAAGAAGGCCUUCGGGUUGUAAAGCCCUUUUGUUGGGAAAGAAAAGCAGCAGGUUUAUACCCCGCUGUUCUGACGGUACCCAAAGAAUAAGCACCGGCUAACUUCGUG